rfam:Micromonospora siamensis strain DSM 45097 genome assembly, chromosome: I
ACCGGUCUCCGGUAGUGGCCCCCGGGACCACCGGCACCUCGCCGACCACCCGGGCGCUUCGAUCGAAGACCGGC